ACGUCUACGGAUGCCCGCGAUUGUCAUUAUUUAUUAUUUUUAGAAUGGCUCACAUAUAUUUCUACAGUCUCGUGAACAGUCAAUAAAACAAUUCUGUAUGCAUUUUGUUUGGUUGUUUCGACUCUUCCAAAGAUUUUUCGAGCCAGACAGUGUUACCACUGGACUACUGCGUCCGCUUUAAGUUUAACGAAAUAGGAUGAUUUGAAUAUUAAUAAACAAAUACGUGCGUAUGAAUACAUGACGUAGGUAUAUAUCAAAUAUAGCCUUGUUACAAGUAAAACAAAAGCGACAAAUACUGGCUAUGCUUAAACAUUGUUCAUGUGUUCGUGGAUGAUUAAUAACGCUGAUGAUUAAAGUGAAUUUGUACAUUCCAAUCUCCCUUAAAUCAAUGUCGUCUUUGACAGAAAAUGUGUUUGAUAAUGUAUUGGGUAUUAUUGCUGAAUAUAUUUGCAUCUCAUAGACAAUAUGUCCAGUUAUAUUUCAAGUUUCCUUGCGAAAUAAUAUUGUGACCUUUACAAGUGAAUUUCAGUAUACUGUUUAUAUUUUUGCUAAAACAUAAAAUGUGGGUUUACUAAAACUCUGGAAUAGUUGUGUGGUAUGUUCUCAUUAAGUAUUGGCAGCACAGAAUAUGUUAACCAGUUUUGUCAAAAUGAAAGGUAUUCACUUGUAGUUCUAUGUCGUCGAAUAUUAUUGUAUUAUUUUUUUUAUUCGCGUGAUACUAUGCACAUUUUUAUUAAUCUAAAUAAUGACACGGGGUUGAUAUAUGUAAAAGUCUAUAUUAUGACAUUUCAUUGACGUUUACUUAUGUCUUUAUUAUUUACGGAGAACGAAUGUGAUAGGAAACAUAACUGAAUGUGAUUAAAAAUGUGCUUUAGGAUUUUUAGUGAAUUUGAAUGAAAUAUCAACAAAACGUUAAACUUGUUUGAAAUAUUUAAUUAUAAACGUAUGGCAAUAUGAAAAUUAACAUACACAGUAGAGGUAUUCCUUCUGAAGAAACAGGGGAGGACAACAAACAUGGUUUAAGAAAUGAACAUUAGCCGACACCUACAUACCUUAACGAUGGGAACACCGAAUCAGAGAGCAUAUAUCUACUUGAAGAAAAAGAAAUUGAAGUUGGAAAUAGGAAGUCUAAACAACAACAAAACUUAGGAAACUUUUCAUGUUGAUAUCGUGUCUGAUACAACUUAUCAUAUUUAAUGGCAUAGGAUAUGGGUUGAGUGUUAUGUAUGCGGACUUAUCGUUGUCUUUAAUGCCAAAAGGUCAGAUGCCACGCUCGUUCAAAGUGUAUACAUGGGAAUUGCUACAUGAGGUGAUAUCAUUUUUACUGGUAUGAUAAUGCAGAUAAGUCCAGGUAUAAGUACAAUUAUUGGAUCUGUCGUCUGCUGCAUUGGUCUGUUGGUGAGUUCGUGUGCAACUGGUCUAGUUACAAUAAUCAUAAAUACAGGAGUUAUCUCAGGUUAUAUCCGAGACACUGUCGGCGAGUAUGAUUUGGCCUUUUACAUUGCUGCAGUUGCAAGUCUGUAUGUUGGUAUUGCCAGCGCAGUGGCUGCUUUCUUCUUUUGGAGACGUAAUCAACGGGCAUCUUAUAAAGAGAUAUUUCGAUUAUACACGUUUAACGUGAAAAGAAUUCAGAAUUGGUGACGUUGCAUCCACAACUCAUGAACUUCAUAUAACUCUAUAUUGUGCUACUUAUUUCAGUUCUGAUCUAUCAAAUCAAAUGUUCAAGGACUUUUACCGCCACCACUGCUGAUGUGAUAGUUCAUAUAAUCUACAAUAUCCUUCGGGAGCAUAGAACAUGACAAAGCAAAGAAGAGCACAGUCUCUUGGUUUGACCGAGUUUAUCUACGAGAGGUUAUGAAAGGUGCAACACAUCCCACGUUCUUUAGCACCUACUGCAAUGGAAUGGCCCUUGUACAUGGUACUGAAUUGACUAUGUGAUCCUAAAGAAUCAGGAAAUAUAACAAACACCGAGUCCAGGCAAGGGGGUACUUCAAAUGAUACCACGUGGCAUUUAAAGCUGUUGUUGAGAUAGAUAAUAAAAUCUUUCAGAUGAUCCAUUAAAAAAGCAAAAUAAUAGCACACUCGGUUUGACCCAGUCUGUUCAUGUGAGGACAUGGAAUGCGAAACAACGCUCAAAUCCCAUAGCACCGGCUUAGGCGGAAUUCUACCACAACAAGUACAUUUUCAAUCCUGAAUGAAAAAGGAAUAGUAAGCCUGAUAUUUUACAAUUUAUUUUCUUUUAACAUAUCACAAGUACAAAAAUAUCAGAAUACAUACAGAAUAAAUAAGUCACCACGAUAUUAUAUAAUGUGCUUGUUAGUUCUGAAUGUUUUAAACACAUUAAAAGAGAUACAUGAUGCUUGAACAAGCACUGAACACUACAUAACAGCCUGAACGUUGACUUGUUAAACAUUUUAUAUGAAUAAACACAUUAUAGCACUCACAUUUCCUUCUUUGGGGUUGAACAGAAAACUGGCGUAACUCCGUAUUAAAUAA